CUAAUUUUCAUUUUUUUGGACCAAGGACCUCAAAUCAAAAGAUCCUAGGUCUCUAUCACUUAUGGUGUUCCAGUUUAAAAUACAUUUCAAAAUUUCAAAUACAAAAAGGGAAAUAACUCUCAUAUGGAGCGUUCAUAUUGUUUCGGUCGAAAUUGGACAAAUCAUGCGAAGGAUAUAACGAGCAAUGUUAUAAAAUAAAUUUGUCGUAAUCUUUUACGGUUGAGAAGGAGUUGUGGACACAAGGAAAACAGUGUUUGGGGAGAUAACUCCUACAAAGAAAAGUAUUCGGUUACGCAGGGUAAAUUUCAAAAGCGCAUAAACUGUUCGAUAUCAUAUACCAAAUAUCUAAGCGACAUAUUGCGAAACAAAUGUUUAUCGCAAGAACAAAAUUUGGCGGAAGAAAAACAAAUGAUCAGAAGAAAAACAAUAGGUCUUUCCACAGAAAAGUGGAAAGACCUAAUAAUAAAAAUAAUAAGAACUGACCAAAA
rnacentral:lncRNA from 1 species